AACGAACGCUGGCGGCAUGCCUAACACAUGCAAGUCGAACGAGACCUUCGGGUCUAGUGGCGCACGGGUGCGUAACGCGUGGGAACCUGCCCUUAGGUUCGGAAUAACUCCCCGAAAGGGGUGCUAAUACCGGAUAAUGUCUUCGGACCAAAGAUUUAUCGCCUUUGGAUGGGCCCGGGUUGGAUUAGCUAGUUGGUAGGGUAAAAGCCUACCAAGGCGACGAUCCAUAGCUGGUCUGAGAGGAUGAUCAGCCACACUGGGACUGAGACACGGCCCAGACUCCUACGCGAGGCAGCAGUGGGGAAUAUUGGACAAUGGGCGAAAGCCUGAUCCAGCAAUGCCGCGUGAGUGAUGAAGGCCUUAGGGUUGUAAAGCUCUUUUACCCGGGAUGAUAAUGACAGUACCGGGAGAAUAAGCUCCGGCUAACUCCGUG
rnacentral:rRNA from 1 species